GCUACGGGUGGCAGCAGUGAGGAAUAUUGGUCAAUGGACGAGAGUCUGAACCAGCCAAGUAGCGUGAAGGAUGACUGCCCUAUGGGUUGUCAACUUCUUUUAUAUGGGAAUAAAAUGUUCCACGUGUGGGAUUUUGUAUGUACCAUAUGAAUAAGGAUCGGCUAACUCCGUGCCAGCAGCCGCGGUAAUACGGAGGAUCCGAGCGUUCUCCGGAUUUAUUGGGUUUAAAGGGAGGGUAUGGGGAUUGUUAAGUCAGUUGUGAAAGUGUGCGGCUCAACCGUAAAAUUGACGUUGAAACUGGCAGUCUUGAGUACAGUAGAGGUGGGCGGAAUUCGGGGUGUAGCGGUGAAAUGCUUAGAUAUCACGAAGAACUCCGAUUGCGAAGGCAGUUCACUGGACUGCAACUGACACUGAGGCUCGAAAGUGUGGGUAUCAAACAGGAUUAGAUACCCCAGUAGUC
rnacentral:rRNA from 1 species